AGAGUUUGAUCCUGGCUCAGGAUGAACGCUAGCUACAGGCUUAACACAUGCAAGUCGAGGGGCAGCAUGGUCUUAGCUUGCUAAGACCGAUGGCGACCGGCGCACGGGUGAGUAACACGUAUCCAACCUGCCGUCUACUCUUGGACAGCCUUCUGAAAGGAAGAUUAAUACAAGAUGGCAUCAUGAGUCCGCAUGUUCACAUGAUUAAAGGUAUUCCGGUAGACGAUGGGGAUGCGUUCCAUUAGAUAGUAGGCGGGGUAACGGCCCACCUAGUCUUCGAUGGAUAGGGGUUCUGAGAGGAAGGUCCCCCACAUUGGAACUGAGACACGGUCCAAACUCCUACGGGAGGCAGCAGUGAGGAAUAUUGGUCAAUGGGCGAGAGCCUGAACCAGCCAAGUAGCGUGAAGGAUGACUGCCCUAUGGGUUGUAAACUUCUUUUAUAAAGGAAUAAAGUCGGGUAUGGAUACCCGUUUGCAUGUACUUUAUGAAUAAGGAUCGGCUAACUCCGUGCCAGCAGCCGCGGUAAUACGGAGGAUCCGAGCGUUAUCCGGAUUUAUUGGGUUUAAAGGGAGCGUAGAUGGAUGUUUAAGUCAGUUGUGAAAGUUUGCGGCUCAACCGUAAAAUUGCAGUUGAUACUGGAUAUCUUGAGUGCAGUUGAGGCAGGCGGAAUUCGUGGUGUAGCGGUGAAAUGCUUAGAUAUCACGAGGAACUCCGAUUGCGAAGGCAGCCUGCUAAGCUGCAACUGACAUUGAGGCUCGAAAGUGUGGGUAUCAAACAGGAUUAGAUACCCUGGUAGUCCACACGGUAAACGAUGAAUACUCGCUGUUUGCGAUAUACAGCAAGCGGCCAAGCGAAAGCGUUAAGUAUUCCACCUGGGGAGUACGCCGGCAACGGUGAAACUCAAAGGAAUUGACGGGGGCCCGCACAAGCGGGGGAGCAUGUGGUUUAAUUCGAUGAUACGCGAGGAACCUUACCCGGGCUUAAAUUGCAGAUGAAUUACGGUGAAAGCCGUAAGCCGCAAGGCAUCUGUGAAGGUGCUGCAUGGUUGUCGUCAGCUCGUGCCGUGAGGUGUCGGCUUAAGUGCCAUAACGAGCGCAACCCUUGUUGUCAGUUACUAACAGGUUCCGCUGAGGACUCUGACAAGACUGCCAUCGUAAGAUGUGAGGAAGGUGGGGAUGACGUCAAAUCAGCACGGCCCUUACGUCCGGGGCUACACACGUGUUACAAUGGGGGGUACAGAGGGCCGCUACCACGCGAGUGGAUGCCAAUCCCCAAAACCUCUCUCAGUUCGGACUGGAGUCUGCAACCCGACUCCACGAAGCUGGAUUCGCUAGUAAUCGCGCAUCAGCCACGGCGCGGUGAAUACGUUCCCGGGCCUUGUACACACCGCCCGUCAAGCCAUGGGAGCCGGGGGUACCUGAAGUGCGUAACCGCGAGGAGCGCCCUAGGGUAAAACUGGUGACUGGGGCUAAGUCGUAACAAGGUAGCCGUACCGGAAGGUGCGGCUG
rnacentral:rRNA from 1 species